UGGGGAAUAUUGGACAAUGGGCGAAAGCCUGAUCCAGCCAUGCCGCGGGUGUGAAGAAGGUCUUCGGAUUGUAAAGCACUUUAAGUUGGGAGGAAGGGCAGUAAAUUAAUACUUUGCUGUUUUGACGUUACCGACAGAAUAAGCACCGGCUAACUCUGUGCCAGCAGCCGCGGUAAUACAGAGGGUGCAAGCGUUAAUCGGAAUUACUGGGCGUAAAGCGCGCGUAGGUGGUUCGUUAAGUUGGAUGUGAAAUCCCCGGGCUCAACCUGGGAACUGCAUUCAAAACUGACGAGCUAGAGUAUGGUAGAGGGUGGUGGAAUGUCCUGUGUAGCGGUGAAAUGCGUAGAUAUAGGAAGGAACACCAGUGGCGAAGGCGACCACCUGGACUGAUACUGACCCUGAGGUGCGAAAGCGUGGGGAGCAAACAGG
rnacentral:rRNA from 1 species